UAAGCAACCUGCCCUCAGCUCUGGGAUAACUCCGGGAAACCGGGGCUAAUACCGGAUACGACCUUCCCUCGCAUGGGGGUUGGUGGAAAGUUCUUCGGCUGAGGAUGGGCCCGCGGCCUAUCAGCUAGUUGGUGGGGUGAUGGCCCACCAAGGCGACGACGGGUAGCCGGCCUGAGAGGGCGACCGGCCACACUGGGACUGAGACACGGCCCAGACUCCUACGGGAGGCA
rnacentral:rRNA from 1 species